GACGAACGCUGGCGGCGUGCCUAAUACAUGCAAGUAGGACGCAGUUGCGAACGGGGGAGUAACGCGUAGGUAACUACCUAUUAGAGGGGGAUAACUAGUGGAAACGAUAGCUAAUACCGCAUACUAGUAGAUGGACCUGUGUUGUAUUAGCUAGUAGGUAGGGUAAUGGCCUACCUAGCCAACGAUACAUAGCCGACCGUAGAGGGUGAUCGGCCAAACUGGGCCUGAGACCCGGCCCAGACGCCUACGGGAGGCAGCAGGAGGGAAUCUUCGGCAAUGGGGGGAACCCUGACCGAGCAACGCCGCGUGAGUGAAGAAGGUUUUCGGAUCGUAAAGCUCUGUUGUUAAGGAAGCGGUACUUAACCAGAAAGGGACGGCUAACUACGUGCCAGCAGCCGCGGUAAUUC
rnacentral:rRNA from 1 species